CCUACGGGAGGCUGCAGUGAGGAAUAUUGGUCAAUGGUCGGGAGACUGAACCAGCCAAGCCGCGUGAGGGAUGAAGGUACAGAGUAUCGUAAACCUCUUUUGUCAGGGAACAAAGGCGGGGACGUGUCCCCGGAUGAGUGUACCUGAAGAAAAAGCAUGGGCUAACGCCGUGCCAGCAGCCGCGGUAAUACGGAGGUGGCAAGCGUUAUCCGGAUUUACUGGGGGUAAAGGGCGUGUAGGCGGGACUGCAAGUCAGAUGUGAAACCCACGGGCUCAACCUGUGGCCUGCCUUUGAAACGGUAGUUCUUGAGUACUGGAGUGGCAGCCGGAAUUCCUAGUGUAGCGGUGACAUGCGUAGAUAUUAGGAGGAACACCAGUGGCGAAGGCGGUCUGCUGGACAGCAACUGACGCUGAGGCGCGAAAGCGUGGGGAGCAAACAGGAUUAGAUACCCGAGUAGUC
rnacentral:rRNA from 1 species